GGUAAAAUGGCAGUGGAUCAUGCACAUGUAUUCCUGUGGGUGCCGAGAUAUUUGUCUACUGCUGUCAAGGUCUUGUUCUCUCAACUUGUCGAAUAUGAGUGAAGAACAAAGAACGUUCUUCUUUGUUUUGCAGCAAGUCAAGCAGCUUCCAGCCAUGAUUUUUUGCUCAAUGUUGGAAUUUUUCAGUGUGAAAUCGCUUAUGAAAACAUGGAAAUUCUGCCAAAAGAGAAUGGCAGAAGAUUCAAAAAGACAUUUCUGAAUUUCCAUGAGCAGAGGACCCCUGGAUCCUCCUGGGAAACCUAAAUGACCCUUGGGGACUGAAAAUGAAGUACCCCAAAACUCCUGUUGUGAUGGGGAACAGCUCUCUUGGUGGGUGGCAAAGAGGCCACGUUCUCACCUCCUAUAUUGAAAAUCAAAGUUAGUGAAAGAUGUGAAUUGUAGCAUCUACUCACAAAUCAAAACACAAACCUGGUGAUUCAGACUUGCUCCUUCACUCAACUAAUAGCCAACUUCUUAUAUAAUUACUAUCUCUGGCUCCUACAGAGCAAUUUAGCCUCUCAUUCCUUUUCUAGAAUGCAAUUGGAUUUUUCUGAGGCUAAAAUUCCCAUUCUUUAAAGCAUCAAUAAAUGGUAAAAUACCUCUCUCCAUUUCUAAAGUGAAGAAAUCUGCAGAUGGACUUACUGCCUGGCUCUGACUCAGCUCGAAUCAGGGGGAGAUUGCCGAGGAGAAAAGCAAGCUUCAUUUGUCAUAGUUUUAUUUUAGUUGGCUUAUUAGACCCGUAAUAAUCACUUCUAUGUCAUAGUGUUAUUUGCAACACAAAACCUAGCUGGUUUCUUUUCCAUAAAUGAUAAUUAUUCUACCUUUUAAGGGCCUGAUAUGAACUUUAAAGAGGUUUAUCAUCCAAUUAUCUCUCUUGCAAAGAUUUGGGGAUUAUUCAAAAGAACAAAAGGUGUGUUCUCAUUUAUUACAGCAAGGUCCUUAGGUUGCAGCUGAUUCUCCUAAAGAAGGCUAAGGCUAUUUGACACUAACCGAAU